GUCAGUUACAGAUUGAACUCCUGU
rnacentral:piRNA from 2 species